rnacentral:rRNA from 1 species
UAGGGAAUCUUGCGCAAUGGACGAAAGUCUGACGCAGCAACGCCGCGUGUAGGAUGAAGCCUCUAGGGGUGUAAACUACUGUCAGCAGGGAAGAAAUUGACUGUACCUGCAGAGGAAGCACCGGCUAACUCCGUGCCAGCAGCCCCGGUAAGACGGAGGGUGCAAGCGUUGUCCGGAAUUAUUGGGCGUAAAGAGUUCGUAGGCGGUUAUUUAAGUCUGAUGUUAAAGCCCGAAGCUUAACUUCGGCAUGGCAUUGGAAACUGGAUGACUAGAGUGCGGUAGAGGUAUCGGGAAUUCCAGGUGUAGCGGUGAAAUGCGUAGAUAUCUGGAGGAACACCAGUGGCGAAAGCGCGAUACUGGGCCAUAACUGACGCUGAGGAACGAAAGCCAGGGUAGCAAAAGGGAUUAGAUACCCCCGUAGUCCCUGAGCGGGCUGGCAAGGCGCAU